rnacentral:misc_RNA from 1 species
AGAAAAGCCUUAGAAUCCUCUCUCCACCCCGUGAAGGUUUCUCUAGCUGUAGCUCUUAAGGGUACAAGACGGCAAAUAUUCUGGGGUGAAGGAGGUAUAAUGGGGAAACACAUUUAUUUUCCCCUUUUAAACUUCCCUGCUGCCCCAGUCUUUGCCUUCUUCUUAGUGGAUCCCUUGGGUUCUGGCUCCUUGCGCUUAGCUGAAGAGA